GGCGCCGUGGCAGAGUGGUCUAAUGCGAUAGACUAGAACGUGCUGAUUCAGCACUUUCCAGGCAUCUAUUCUCUUCGGAGGCGCAUGUUCGAAUCAUGCCGGCGUCG